rnacentral:rRNA from 1 species
GACGAACGCUGGCGGCGUGCUUAACACAUGCAAGUCGAACGGAAAGGCACUGCUUUUUUGGGGUGCCCGAGUGGCGAACGGGUGAGUAACACGUGAGUAACCUGCCCUUGACUUUGGGGUAACUUCAGGAAACUGGGGCUAAUACCGGAUAGGAGAUCCUGCUGCAUGGUGGGGGUUGGAAAGUUUCGGCGGGUGGGGAUGGACGGGCGGCUUAUCAGCUUGUUGGUGGGGUAGUGGCUUACCAAGGAUUUGACGGGUAGCCGGCCUGAGAGGGUGAACGGGGACAAGGGGACUGAGGGACGGCGCAGACUCGUACGGGAGGCAGCAGUGGGGAACAUGGCCCAGCGGUCGGAAGUCGGAUGCAGAGACGCCGCGUGCGUGAUGACGGCCUGUGGGGUGUAAACCGCUGUCGCCUGUGACGAAGCGUUAGUGACGGUAAUGGGUAAAGAAGCACCGGCUAACUACGUG